rnacentral:lncRNA from 1 species
GAAAAUCAAUAUCUAUUUUUAUACUUUCUUAAAAAUAAAUAAUGUAUUUUCGUUCCUUUAUUACCACUCUUUUAGAACAAUGGAGGAAAUGUUUUAGUACAAAAUAUAUUCACAGAAAGAGUCCGUUCUCAGGAGGCUAAGGCAGGAUAACUGUCAUGCAUUCGAGGCCAGCCUGGGCUACAUAGUGCUACACCAGCCAGGCCUAUAUUGCAAGAACCAUUCUUAAAAAAUAUCAUCAGGAAUACCCUGAAAAUGGUAAGGCCUCACAGAUUACAAAGCAAUGGUCAGCGGCUAAGAGCACUGACUGCUCUUCCAAAGGUCCUAAGUUCAAAUCCCAGAAACCACAUGGUGGCUCACAACCAUCUGUAAUGAAGAGAUCUAACGCCCUCUUCUGGUGUGUCUGGAUAUAGCUACAGUGUACUCACAUAUAAUAAAGUAAAUCUUUAAAGUCUACACAGCAAUCCCAGGAAGGAGACAGUAUUGCCAUCAUUCUCAUUUACAGAUGAGGAGACUGAGACAGACAGAGGGAAUCAAUCACUUGUGCAAGAUCACCUAGCUAGCAACAGUAGAUAGUGAAAGGGGUGUAAAUAAGUCCAGGAACAGAGGCAGCUUCUUAGCUACAAAAUUCUCCUGCUUUAGAAGAGUAACUCAUUCUAUACUAAAAUAAUGAGAAAAUAAUAAUGAAAACAUUUUUUAAUCCUUGAAAUUUAAAAACUUAAACAGGCUCCUGAGUUGCUACAGUGAUGUGGUUUGAAAGUGGUCUGUCCCUUAAGCAUUCAUUCUUUGGAGGUUUAGUGCCCAGGGCAGCAGUGUUGGUGAUGGUUAGGAAUUGUUAAAAAGUGGGGCCUUGUGGGAGUCUUUAGACUAUGGGGAGAAAUGCCCUGGGAGGGAAUGAUGGUUUCCUGUGGUGCACUCUAAGGGAGCCAGUAGUUACAGAAGCCUGAACUGAAUAUGUGACUUUCUCUGGCUUCCUGUUUAACGACAUUUCCCUAUAUAACCCAUGGUAAGGCCGUCAAGUGUCACACUGUUUUAUCAGUUGCCAAAGGAAUGGGCCUGUCCAAUCGUGACUUCCAACCUCUGAAAUUAUGAGCCAAAAUAAAAAUAAGACUUUUUUCUUUAUAAAAUUGUCCUAGUUACAAUAAAUCACUGCAGUACUAUAAAAGCAGCUAAUACAGAACUGAAAGGAAAAACAUCUAAGAUAAGAUGCUAUAUUACACACAAUAGAA